AUACAGAGGGUGCAAGCGUUGUUCGGAAUUAUUGGGCGUAAAGCGCAUGUAGGCGGUGACGUAUGUCGGGUGUGAAAGCCCUCGGCUCAACCGAGGAAGUGCGCUCGAAACUGCGUCGCUAGAGUGUCGGAGAGGGUGGCGGAAUUCCCGGUGUAGAGGUGAAAUUCGUAGAUAUCGGGAGGAACACCAGUGGCGAAGGCGGCCACCUGGACGAACACUGACGCUGAGAUGCGAAAGCGUGGGUAGCAAACAGGAUUAGAUACCCUGGUAGUCCACGCCGUAAACGAUGAGAACUAGGUGUGGCGGGAGUUGACCCCUGCCGUGCCGAAGCUAACGCAUUAAGUUCUCCGCCUGGGAAGUACGGCCGCAAGGCUAAA
rnacentral:rRNA from 1 species